UCAGGACGAACGCUGGCGGCGUGCCUAAUACAUGCAAGUCGAACGAACUGUGGAAAGCUUGCUUUCAGAGUUAGUGGCGAACGGGUGAGUAACACGUAAGUAACCUAGCUAUUAGACGAGGAUAACUACUGGAAACGGUAGCUAAGACUGGAUAUGAUAGAAAUAUUUAAAGGAUGCUAAGGCAUCGCUAAUAGAGGGGCUUGCGGCGCAUUAGCUAGUUGGUAGGGUAAAAGCCAACCAAGGCGAUGAUGCGUAGCCGACCUGAGAGGGUGACCGGCCACACUGGGACUGAGACACGGCCCAGACUCCUACGGGAGGCAGCAGUAGGGAAUCUUCGGCAAUGGACGGAAGUCUGACCGAGCAACGCCGCGUGAAGUGAAGAAAGUUUUCGGAUUGUAAAGCUCUGUUAUUAGGGAAGAAAGGCUCUAGGAGGAAAUGCUUAGGGAUUGACGGUACCUAAUGAGGAAGCCACGGCUAACUACGUGCCAGCAGCUGC
rnacentral:rRNA from 1 species